CAGUCGCCGCGGUAAUACGAAGGGUGCAAGCGUUACUCGGAAUUACUGGGCGUAAAGCGUGCGUAGGUGGUGGUUUAAGUCCGUUGUGAAAGCCCUGGGCUCAACCUGGGAAUUGCAGUGGAUACUGGGUAACUAGAGUGCGGUAGAGGAGAGUGGAAUUUCCGGUGUAGCAGUGAAAUGCGUAGAGAUCGGAAGGAACAUCUGUGGCGAAGGCGACUAUCUGGGCCAAUACUGACACUGAGGCACGAAAGCGUGGGGAGCAAACAGGAUUAGAUACCCCUGUAGUCCCUGUCUCUUAUAC
rnacentral:rRNA from 1 species